UGGAGCUUUAAGCUAGCUUCACAUCUGUUUUGUACGCCCUUUGAUUAAACAGAGCACUGCCUGCUUAGCUUUAGGUUGGGGUGACCGCGGAAUAUAACACAACUUCCGCGAUGUGCAACUAUUUUCCUAUCUAAGAAUUACUAUUCUAAGAAUUAGCAUUCUAACAUACAAUGAUCCGAUAAUCGAUCAACGGACUAAGUUACCCUGGGGAUAACAGCGCAAUCCAUUUCAAGAGCCCCUAUCGACAAAUGGGUUUACGACCUCGAUGUUGGAUCAGGAUAUCCUAGUGGUGCAAAAGCUACUAAAGGUUCGUUUGUUCAACGAUUAAAAUCCU
rnacentral:rRNA from 1 species